AUGCUGGACUCCAGUCGUGCAUCGGCCAGCUUGCCUCCACAGUGCUUUCAGACUAUAGUCUCACUUAUACAGCCGACUGAAAAGCUUCCCAACAACUUCUGUCUGCACCUGCCUUGGCCUCCUCGGUCACAUGGCUGCGUGCACCUUUGUUACAAAGCACGCAAGACUGUGCAUGCGUCCUCUCCAGACUUGGCUCGCCUCAGUCUACCGUCCAUGCAGGGAUGCCAUAGACAUGAUAAUCAUGGUUCCACCAAACGUUCUGGGCUCCCUCAACUGGUGGCUGACGCCCUCCCUGGUGUGUGCCGGUUGUCUGUUCCAUCCGCCACAGUCCUCGGUGUCUCUGACAACAGACGCUUCUUCUCUCCGCUGGGGUGCUCACUUAGGGCACCUCCACACCCAGGGUCUUUGGUUCUUUCAGGAGCUGGCGCUUCACAUCAAUGUCCGCGAACUGAGAGCGGUCUGACUGGCGUGCCAGACCUUCCAGCAUCACUUGCAGGGCCGUUGUGUUGCAGUUUUCACAGACAAUACAACGGCCAUGUAUUACAUAAACAAGCAGGAAGGGAUGCGAUCUUCCCCCCUUUGUCGAGAGGCGAUGCGACUGUGGGACUUCUGCAUAGCCCACUCGAUAGACCUGGUAGCCUCCUUUCUCCCGGGAGUCCGGAACUCUCUAGCGGACCACCUGAGCAGGUUCUUCCUGUCCCACGAGUGGUCCAUCCAUCCGGACAUCCUCCUUUCAGUAUUCCGGAAGUGGGGCUUUUCCCAGAUAUACCUCUUUGCAUCCCGAGAGAACAGGAAAUGCCAGGCGUUCUGCUCCCUGCAGGGUCGCUCCCCAGGCUCCCUCUCGGAUGCAUUCCUAAUUCCCUGGGAAGGUCGUCUACUUUAUGCCUUUCCACCCUUUCCCCUAGUCCACAGGGUCCUGCUGAAGCUCCGCAGGGACAGGGACAGGCUAAUCCUGAUUGCUCCGGCAUGGCCGAGGCAGCACUGGUACACCAUGCUGCUCGACCUAUCUCUGGCGAACCCGAUACCUCUGCCACUCUAGCAGGACCUGAUAACANACCCGGACUUGCAGUCCCUCCACCUGACAGCAUGGCUGCUGUCUGGCUAAACCAAUCCGAAUUGCGCUGUUCCAACCCGGUGCAACAGGUCCUCCUGGGAAGCAGAAAGCCUUCCACGCGUGCGACAUAUCUCGCCAAGUGGAAGCACUUCUCCCAUUGA
rnacentral:lncRNA from 1 species